UACCCUCGUACAUAGCUUACGAGUUUGGCC
rnacentral:piRNA from 1 species